rnacentral:rRNA from 1 species
GUCCACGCCCUAAACGAUGUCGACUAGGUGUUGGGGAAGGAGACUUCCUUAGUACCGCAGCUAACGCGUGAAGUCGACCGCCUGGGGAGUACGGUCGCAAGAUUAAAACUACAAAGGAAUUGACGGGGACCCGGCACAAGCGGUGGAUGAUGUGGAUUAAUUCGAUGCAACGCGAAAACCUUAACCUACCCUUCGACAUGCCAGGAAGUCUGCUGAGAGGUGGAUGUGCCCGAAAGGGAACCUGGACACAGGUGCUGCAUGGCUGUCGU